ensembl:lncRNA
UUUUAUAAGUCAUGUGUCCAAAGAAAAAUGAAUAUUUAGACUAUGUUAAAUGUACGUAAACGUGACUACCAAGCUCUUUUCAAACGGUGCGGAUUACAGGAGUUUCUGGUCUCAUGAAGGCGCUUCGGAGAGGAGUUUGUCGCUCCAAAUGAGAAUAGAAUCCUUUCACAAGGCUGUUAUCAAAGCAGACUGCGUCUCGGUCAUUUCUCUAGGUAACUUUAGUGAAUCCCUAGGCAACGAGUCCCUGCACUGGUAAAGAGACCAUGGCUUAGUAAACAUUGGGACAAUUGAUCAAUCAAUUUGUAAAACGUCACCACUAAUAUUUAUCAACAACAGGCAGGCAUAUUUUGAUAUUAUUUUAAUGCUGUUUAAUGUAGACUUAUAAUAUUAAAGGUGCAUGUUAUAUUACAAAUCCUUGCAACUAAUGAACAGUCAACAUCAGUGCUCCAUUUGUUGUGCGAUGGAUUGAGAUUUUUUGUGUGCCCAAAAAAAAAAAAAAAAAAAAAUUGGUUGCACCUUCUGUUUCAUCACAAAUUUAAUUAACUGGCAUUACAUUUUAAAUGAUUUAAAAGGCAUCAUUUCAUUUUUUGAGAAAAUGUUUACUUUAUUUUUCCAUCAGGGUGUGGCCAAAGGUUUCAUUGGUGUUUUCUCAUCAUUGCAAUUUUUAGAUGCUGGCCAGUCACUUCUUCAAAGGCUCCAAACACUGCCAUGUGACCAGGCUGCUCCACUGCAACUACAUAGUGUGUGUGUACUUUCAACACUAAGACUUAAGGUCACCGUAGCCACCAGAUCCAGUCUGUAUCCAGAUCAGAUGGUGGAUCAGCACCUAGACACACCCUUGACAGCCCUGAAUGUCAGCGGAGACCAAGACAACUAGAUGAGCCCCAGAGACAGAUCCCCUCCAAAGAACUCAUCACUUAGACAGCCAUCGGGACAAGACCACAGAAACAAAACCAGUCCUCUGCACAAUCUGACCUGUGUUGCAGCCUGC